ensembl:misc_RNA Metazoa_SRP Metazoan signal recognition particle RNA
GCCAGGAGCCGUGGCACAUGCCUGUAGUUCCAGCUACUCCGCAGGCUGAAGUGGGAGAUGACUUGAGCCCAGCAGUUCUGGGCUGUAGUUCGCUAUGGCGGUCGGGUGUCUGCACUAAGUUCGGCAUCAAUAUGGUGACCUCCCGGGAGCGGGGAACCACCAGGUUGCCUAAGGAGGGGUGAACCGGCUCAGGUCUGCAACUGAGCAGGUCAAAACUCCCGUGCUGAUCAGUAGUAGGAUUGCGCUUGUGAAUAGUCACUGCACUCCAACCUAGGCAACAUUAGCAAGACCCUGUCUCU